rnacentral:rRNA from 1 species
AGGUCGAACGAGACAAGAUGGAAGUGCUUGCACGGAAAUCUUAGAAAGUGGCGAACGGGUGAGUAACGCGUGGGUAACCUGCCCUAUGGAAGGGAAUAGCCUCGGGAAACUGGGAGUAAUGCCUUAUAAUAUAAAGAAGUCGCAUGGCUUUUUUAUUAAACGCUCCGGUGCCAUAGGAUGGACCCGCGUCCCAUUAGCUAGUUGGUGAGAUAACAGCUCACCAAGGCGACGAUGGGUAACCGGUCUGAGAGGGCGAACGGUCACACUGGAACUGAGACACGGUCCAGACUCCUACGGGAGGCAGCAGUGGGGAAUAUUGCGCAAUGGGGGAAACCCUGACGCAGCAAUACCGCGUGAGUGAAGAAGGUUUUCGGAUCGUAAAGCUCUGUUAUUGGGGAAGAAAAAAAGACGGUACCCAAGAAGAAAGUCCCGGCUAACUACGUGCCAGCAGCCGCGGUAAUACGUAGGGGACAAGCGUUGUCCGGAUUUACUGGGCGUAAAGGGCACGCAGGCGGUUUUUUAAGUCAGAUGUGAAAGGUACCGGCUCAACCGGUGACAUGCAUUUGAAACUGAAAGACUUGAGUAUUGGAGAGGCAAGUGGAAUUCCUAGUGUAGCGGUGAAAUGCGUAGAUAUUAGGAGGAACACCGGUGGCGAAGGCGGCUUGCUGGACAAAUACUGACGCUGAGGUGCGAAAGCGUGGGGAGCAAACAGGAUUAAAUACCCUGGUA